rnacentral:rRNA from 1 species
GAUGGACGCUGGCGGCGUGCUUAACACAUGCAAGUCGAACGGAAAGGCUCCUGCUUGCAGGGGUACUCGAGUGGCGAACGGGUGAGUAACACGUGGGUGAUCUGCCCUGCACUUCGGGAUAAGCCUGGGAAACUGGGUCUAAUACCGGAUAGGACGAUGGUUUGGAUGCCAUUGUGGAAAGUUUUUCGGUGUGGGAUGAGCUCGCGGCCUAUCAGCUUGUUGGUGGGGUAAUGGCCUACCAAGGCGUCGACGGGUAGCCGGCCUGAGAGGGUGUACGGCCACAUUGGGACUGAGAUACGGCCCAGACUCCUACGGGAGGCAGCAGUGGGGAAUAUUGCACAAUGGGCGCAAGCCUGAUGCAGCGACGCCGCGUGGGGGAUGACGGCCUUCGGGUUGUAAACUCCUUUCGCUAGGGACGAAGCGCAAGUGACGGUACCUGGAGAAGAAGCACCGGCUAACUACGU